AGGUGCUGCAUGGCUGUCGUCAGCUCGUGUCGUGAGAUGUUCGGUUAAGUCCGCUAACGAGCGCAACCCUUGCUGUGUGUUACAUGUGUCACACGGGACUGCCGGUCUUAAACCGGAGGAAGGUGGGGAUGACGUCAAGUCAGCAUGGCCUUUAUGUCCUGGGCUACACACACGCUACAAUGGCCGGUACAAUAGGUUGCGAAGCCGCGAGGCGGAGCCAAUCCUCAAAGCCGGCCUCAGUUCAGAUUGCAGGCUGCAACCCGCCUGCAUGAAGAUGGAGUUGCUAGUAACCGCAGGUCAGCUAUACUGCGGUGAAUACGUUCCCGGGGCUU
rnacentral:rRNA from 1 species